rnacentral:lncRNA from 1 species
AGGCUUAAAUACUCUGUAGGUCCCUGAAAUUGUACCCCGUAUCAAAAUAAGUCCCUGAAAUUUUUUUUUCCGAUUCCGGGUCCCUAGAAAAAUUUGUUUGAUCAAAAUAAGUCCCUACGCCGGAGAAGACAGUGGUUGCCUCCUCAUUGUUUCCACAAACCAUGAAAUAACAUGUUUAAAACACUCCUAGACCUUCAUAUAUCUGAUCUGGGCGAAGGAAUCGCAAGAAACAAAGCUAAAACGAAGAAACCGAGAAGCUCCAUAAAUUCCGGCGAGAAGAAAUCAACUUGCGACUGGCCUUUUCUCUUCAACUGUGACGACCCAGCCCACGAGACCACCACCACUGAGUUCCUGAGGACGAGACGAAGCCGGCCCAACACCCUGGUCGUAGCGCCGCCAUGACCGCCGUCGUCAACCACCGUCUUCUCCGGCGUAGGGACUUAUUCUGAUUAAAAAAACAAUUCCAGGGAUCCGGAAUCGGA